GGAGGAGCAUCGUUCCCCGGUGGGGCGCCCGGUCUUCAAAACCGGUGAGGGGCGUACAACGUGCCUGGUGGGUUCGACUCCCACGCUCUUCCGCCA
rnacentral:tRNA from 2 species